AGGCGCCUCUGAGCUUGUGCUUGU
rnacentral:miRNA from 1 species